UGUUUAAAAAAAAAAGGGUGCUAAAUCUUUCUAGUGGCAUGAUUGUUUUAAAGUUUUAUGAUAUUUUGGUGCAUCAAAUUAUUUUUAGGAGAAAUUCAAAAUAGGUUCUCAGAAUCAUUAUUUAUUAUGAUUAUUUUUAAAAAUUUAAAUAAAUAUCAUAAAAUGUUUUUUUUUAAAAAAAUAAGUAAUAUUUUCAUGGGAAACAAAUGUUAAACCCUGGACUUAAAUGUUACUUCUUUCUCGGCCCAGCCCAUUACAAUGAUAUCACCUCUCCUCUCCUCAUUAAAAAAAAAAAAAAAGAAGCCUUCUCUUUCCGGUGGCCUCGCCUCUUCCUUCGCCCGCUGAAUCUUAUUUGCUUCUUCUCAUUGCCAACGCCGCCGCCGGCUGCCCUCGCAACUCCCUGCUACCCGCCGCCGUCACCCGCUAUUCUUCGAGGUUGUCCAUUGCCCAAGAUCGGCAUCGACCUGUCAUCCUCUCCUCUCCAACUUCGUGCUCCAGCCUCCUUCUCAGCCCCGGGGAUCGACGUUUGCGGCUUCGUUUGUGCACUCAUCGUCAGCUCCUUCUUGCUUCAGGUAGAGUUGCAUAUAUACAAUGGAAGCAAAAGCUGAAGAUUUACUGAGCGAUUUACCAGAUGACAUUCUUCACCAGAUCUUCUCUUUGCUUGGAGACGACCUCACAGUAAGACUAAGACUUCAAGCCUUGUCUAGAAGGUUCCAGACCCUUUGAUUCACGACCCCUUCCUUCUGCUUCUCUCAACGUCGUUAUUCUCGCAAGUGCUCCUGCAAACCUGUCUUCAAUUUCAUGAGUUCUCUUCCCUGACAUCGUCUGCUUGCUUUGAAAAUUAACAAACUUUCUUUCUUAUCUUUCUGCAAGAAACUCAGACACUGUAAGCUUCAUGAGCAUUGGAUCUGUACAUUGUUUCGGGCUUUCCAUGUAGAUGAACUCUCUGUUCAUUACAAACUACCUUCCAUCGUCAAAAGCCUCUGCAGAUUUCAGUCCUUGAAAGUUCUGAAGCUGAAUAUGUUGCCUUGUCACAGUGAAGCUUCCUGAGAUAAAACUCGCUUCUCUCGAGACCCUUUAUAUGAGAUGUGUUUUAACUAAUGAUCCAAUUGGCGAGGGGGUUUCUCAGAGUUUCCCAUCCUUCAGACGUUUAUCCCUCAUACAUAUCAACAUGGAGGAGGAUUUCAUGAAGACAAAACAACAUGACCUUACAAUACGAAGCUCACGUUUGGAGGAUUUAGCCAUUCACGAUUGUUGCAUUUAUGAGAUUGUGAGAGUUAUCACACAGAACCUACGAGGCUUCAGUUGCGUUUGUACUGAACUUUAUUUUUGCGCUCAUGCUUUUUGGGACCAAGAGUAUCUAGUUGAGAUCACUGCACCUAAUCUACAAAGCUUAACCUUAGAAGGUCUUCCAGAAAGGCUUUGUUGUGAAGGAACCUUCAAAAAUUUGAAUCUCGUGGUUGUCACUGGACGCUGCCAUUCAACAUAGAAGCUGAAUCUGUUCAUACAAUUAAAUGAAGCUCUACCCUGGGCCCGAAUACUGCAUAUAGAUAUGCUGGUGCUUGAGGUACUUGAAUUUGAUGAGGAUACAGUCGGAGAUUGGAGGAGAGACGAAGGGAAUAAAAUGAAGGGAUUGAAGAAAGUGGAGUUUAUAAUAGGGAUGUUGAAGAAAAGGUGCGUAGACUUGGAAGAGAUGAUCCUCGAUUACAUGGUCCGAUAUUUGAAGAGUUUUGAGAUGGCUUCUAAUUAUGCACCGCUUUCAAUUAAUUUCCUUCCUGACCAGCUAGGAUAAAUAGCUAGGAUAACAAGACAAGAUAUCAUUUUGCUAUCUUCAGUUAGAACAUAUUUAUUUUAUUUUGUUAUAAUAUAGCGGAAGAUUGUGAUAGAAGACCUAUGUUAGUUACUAUUUAUGGUCAAGAAUCAUGCAUGAGAAUUAUAAUUUAAUUGAAUGAUCCAAAUAUAAUUGAUGGGUUAUUAUUAUUAUUAUUAUUAUUAUUAUUAAACUUCCUUUCUUCCU